CGAACGCUGGCGGCGUGCUUAACACAUGCAAGUCGAACGGAAAGGCCCUGCUUUUGUGGGGUGCUCGAGUGGCGAACGGGUGAGUAACACGUGAGUAACCUGCCCUUGACUUUGGGAUAACUUCAGGAAACUGGGGCUAAUACCGGAUAGGAGCUCCUGCUGCAUGGUGGGGGUUGGAAAGUUUCGGCGGUUGGGGAUGGACUCGCGGCUUAUCAGCUUGUUGGUGGGGUAGUGGCUUACCAAGGCUUUGACGGGUAGCCGGCCUGAGAGGGUGACCGGCCACAUUGGGACUGAGAUACGGCCCAGACUCCUACGGGAGGCAGCAGUGGGGAAUAUUGCACAAUGGGCGGAAGCCUGAUGCAGCAACGCCGCGUGCGGGAUGACGGCCUUCGGGUUGUAAACCGCUUUCGCCUGUGACGAAGCGUGAGUGACGGUAAUGGGUAAAGAAGCACCGGCUAACUACGUGCCAGCAGCCGCGGUGAUACGUAGGGUGCGAGCGUUGUCCGGAUUUAUUGGGCGUAAAGGGCUCGUAGGUGGUUGAUCGCGUCGGAAGUGUAAUCUUGGGGCUUAACCCUGAGCGUGCUUUCGAUACGGGUUGACUUGAGGAAGGUAGGGGAGAAUGGAAUUCCUGGUGGAGCGGUGGAAUGCGCAGAUAUCAGGAGGAACACCAGUGGCAAAGGCGGUUCUCCUGGCCUUUCCUGACGCUGAGGAGCGAAAGCGUGGGGAGCGAACAGGCUUAGAUACCCUGGUAGUCCACGCUGUAAACGGUGGGUACUAGGUGUGGGGUCCAUUCCACGGGUUCCGUGCCGUAGCUAACGCUUUAAGUACCCCGCCUGGGGAGUACGGCCGCAAGGCUAAAACUCAAAGGAAUUGACGGGGCCCCGCACAAGCGGCGGAGCAUGCGGAUUAAUUCGAUGCAACGCGUAGAACCUUACCUGGGUUUGACAUGGAUCGGGAGUGCUCAGAGAUGGGUGUGCCUCUUUUGGGGUCGGUUCACAGGUGGUGCAUGGCUGUCGUCAGCUCGUGUCGUGAGAUGUUGGGUUAAGUCCCGCAACGAGCGCAACCCUUGUUCACUGUUGCCAGCACGUUAUGGUGGGGACUCAGUGGAGACCGCCGGGGUCAACUCGGAGGAAGGUGGGGAUGACGUCAAGUCAUCAUGCCCCUUAUGUCCAGGGCUUCACGCAUGCUACAAUGGCUGGUACAGAGAGUGGCGAGCCUGUGAGGGUGAGCGAAUCUCGGAAAGCCGGUCUCAGUUCGGAUUGGGGUCUGCAACUCGACCUCAUGAAGUCGGAGUCGCUAGUAAUCGCAGAUCAGCAACGCUGCGGUGAAUACGUUCCCGGGGCUUGUACACACCGCCCGUCAAGUCAUGAAAGUUGGUAACACCCGAAGCCGGUGGCCUAACCGUUGUGGGGGAGCCGUCGAAGGUGGGACUGGUGAUU
rnacentral:rRNA from 1 species